UAUGUGCUUUACUGUAAGUUGCUCUGGAUAAGAGCGUCUGCUAAAUGACCAAUG
rfam:Salmo salar isolate Sally breed double haploid chromosome ssa23, whole genome shotgun sequence.